ACCAGCAUGCAUUUAUAGAACAUCAAUAAAAUAAGGACAUGGAUCUAACAAAACUCAAAUGACUGGAAAUCUCUGCUUCCCUUGGUAUUCUCUAGGAAUUGAGCAAGUUCCUGGAGUCCUGCUUCCUUCAGG